rnacentral:rRNA from 1 species
GACGAACGCUGGCGGCGUGCUUAACACAUGCAAGUCGAACGGAAAGGCCCUGCUUUUGUGGGGUGCCCGAGUGGCGAACGGGUGAGUAACACGUGAGUAACCUGCCCUUGACUUUGGGAUAACUUCAGGAAACUGGGGCUAAUACCGGAUAGGAGCUCCUGCUGCAUGGGGGGGGUUGGAAAUUUUCGGCGGUUGGGGAUGGACUCGCGGCUUAUCAGCUUGUUGGUGGGGUAGUGGCUUACCAAGCCUUCGACGGGUAGCCGGCCUGAGAGGGUGACCGGCGACAUUGGGACUGAGAGACGGACCAGACGGCUACGGGAGGCAGCAGGGGGAAAUAUUGCACAAUGGGCGGAAGCCUGAGGCAGCAACGCCGCGUGCGGGAUGACGGCCUUCGGGGGGUAAACCGCUGUAGCCUGUGACGAAGCGUGAGUGACGGUAAUGGGUAAAGAAGCACCGGCUAACUACGUG